rnacentral:rRNA from 1 species
UACGUAGGGUGCGAGCGUUAAUCGGAAUUACUGGGCGUAAAGCGUGCGCAGGCGGUCUGUUAAGACCGAUGUGAAAUCCCCGGGCUUAACCUGGGAACUGCAUUGGUGACUGGCAGGCUUUGAGUGUGGCAGAGGGAGGUAGAAUUCCACGUGUAGCAGUGAAAUGCGUAGAGAUGUGGAGGAAUACCGAUGGCGAAGGCAGCCUCCUGGGCCAACACUGACGCUCAUGCACGAAAGCCAGGGGAGCAAACGGG